GGUUGAUCCUGCCAGUAGUCAUAUGCUUGUCUUAAAGAUUAAGCCAUGCACGUCUAAGUAUAAGCAUUUAUACGGUGAAACAGCGAACGGCUCAUUAAAUCAGUUAUAGUUUAUUUGAUGGUUCCUUACUAGUUGGACAACUGUAGGAAUUCUAGAGCUAAUACAUGCGAAGAGGCCCGACUCCAGGGGAGGGCUGUAUUUAUUGGCAUCAGAACCGAUACGGGGGGCGACCUCCGGACGUGGGGUGAAUCACGGUAACUUGUCGAAUCGCAUGGCCUUUGAGCCGGCGAUGA
rnacentral:rRNA from 1 species